rnacentral:lncRNA from 1 species
CAGGUGGUCUGUAGACCACACUUUAAGAAUUAUCUUCAAGGAUUGGGCUAGUUUUAGUUUGUAGUGAUUUCUUGUGUCUCUUAAUGAAGGCCUAGACAAUAUAGUCUGGAUUGAUUGGAUAAACACAGAGGAACAAGAGCGCGGCAGAAUUGUACCAUGCAUGCAGCAGGCCAUGCUCUACACGGGCCUCUCAGGAUGCAGCAGAGAGGUACCCUGGAUAUACAGGCUUUUUGGAAUACUGAUGUGAGUGUUGAGGCCAGAAAAAUG